rnacentral:rRNA from 1 species
UCUCCCGGCACGGGAGGUAGAGUACACGAUGUAUACACAUUUUAGACCUAAUUAUUUAGUUCUGUAAUUGGAAUGAAUCGAGUAUAAAUCCUUCAAUGAGGAUCAAGUGGAGGGCAAGUCUGGUGCCAGCAGCCGCGGUAAUUCCAGCUCCACUAGCGUAUGUUAAAAUUGUUGCGGUUAAAACGUUCGAAGUUCAUUUUUGUUCAGCACGAGUGUGGCGCUAUCAAGUAAAUGGCUGCUAUCACUUUCGAUUGCUUGAACUACAUGACUGAACACUUAAUGAAUAGCACUGAUGCCUUUUAUUAGGCUAAGUGUCUAUUUAGUUCGGCUUAAUUUUACCUUGAACAAAUUAAGGUGCUCAAAGCAGGCUCUAAUGCCUUGAAUAUUUUUGCAUGGAAUAAUGGAAAAAGACCUCGGUCUUAUAGAUACAUAUGCCUUCGGGUAUAUGUAUCGAUUUCUAUUGGUUUGAUACAGAUCAAGAGGUAAUGAUUAAUAGAAGCAGUCGGGUGCAUUAGUAUUGCGGCGCGAGAGGUGAAAGUCUUAGACCGUCGCACGACUAACUAAAGCGAAAGCAUUUGCCAAGCAUGUUUUCAUUAAUCAAGAACGAAAGUUAGAGGAUCGAAGGCGAUCAGAUACCGCCCUAGUUCUAACUGUAAACGAUGACAGCUAGCAAUUGGAUGUCACUACUUUAUAUGGUGCAUUCAGUAGCUUUCAGGGAAACCAGAGCUAGUUUCUGGGGGAAGUAUGGUUGCAACGCUGAGACUUGACGGAAGUUGACGAUAGUUCGACACCAUGAUCUGUAAUUUGCGCCUGAAUUUGACUCAACACGCGAUAACUUAUCAGGGGCCGAACUUAAUAGGGUACAUCAGAUUAGACCCCCCUUUUCCCAAAAAUUAAGGGGGAGUGGGUGCAUGGCCCCUCCUUAGUUCGUGGGAAUGAUUUUGUCUGGUUAUUCU